rnacentral:rRNA from 1 species
GACGAACGCUGGCGGCGUGCUUAACACAUGCAAGUCGAACGGAACGGCCCUGCUUUUGUGGGGUGCGCGGGUGGCGAACGGGUGAGUAACACGUGAGUUACCUGCCAUUGACUUUGGGAUAACUUCAGGCAACUGGGGCUAAUCCCGGCUAGGAGCUCUUGCUGCAUGGUGGGGGCUGGAAAGUUUCGGCGGUUGGGGGUGGACUAGCGGCUUAUGAGCUUGUUGGUGGGGUAGUGUGUUACCAAGGCUUUGCAAGGUAGCAGGGCUGAUAGGGGGACCGGCCACAUUGGGACUGAGAUACGACACAGACUCCUACGGGAGGCAGAAGUGGGGAAUAUUGCACUAUGGGCGGAAGCCUGAUGCAGUCACGCCGCGUGCGGGAUGACGGCCUUCGGGUUGUAAACCGAUGUCGCCUGUGACGAAGCGUUGGUGACGGUAAUGGGUAAAGAAGCACCGGCUAACUACGUG